rnacentral:tRNA from 1 species
GACCGCGUAGCUCAGUUGGCAGAGCAUUGGGCUAGUAUUCCAAAGGUCGUAGGUUCGAUUCUCACCGUGGACA